rnacentral:rRNA from 1 species
CCUACGGGAGGCUGCAGUGGGGAAUAUUGGACAAUGGGGGGAACCCUGAUCCAGCCAUGCCGCGUGUGUGAAGAAGGCCCUCGGGUUGUAAAGCACUUUCAGUGAGGAAGAACGCCUGGUGGUUAAUACCCAUCAGGAAAGACAUCACUCACAGAAGAAGCACCGGCUAACUCCGUGCCAGCAGCCGCGGUAAUACGGAGGGUGCGAGCGUUAAUCGGAAUUACUGGGCGUAAAGCGCGCGUAGGUGGCUUGAUAAGCCGGUUGUGAAAGCCCCGGGCUCAACCUGGGAACGGCAUCCGGAACUGUCAAGCUAGAGUGCAGGAGAGGAAGGUAGAAUUCCCGGUGUAGCGGUGAAAUGCGUAGAGAUCGGGAGGAAUACCAGUGGCGAAGGCGGCCUUCUGGACUGACACUGACACUGAGGUGCGAAAGCGUGGGUGGCAAACAGGAUUAGAUACCCGGGUAGUC